rnacentral:lncRNA from 1 species
CCCUAGUCGUCAGUGGUGCAAAGUAACUGAGUACAUUUACUCCAGUACUGUCCUUCAGUCCAAAUGUUGAGACGGGACGUCCGGUCUGACACCGUCAUGGUGGACGAGAGAGUCUUCGUCUUCCUGCUCAGGCUGUCCAACAGCGAGGGGGACUUCCUGCCAUCCCCCGGGGACGCCAGGCCUACUGGCUCAGCCAAUGAGAGUGUGUAUUAUUCCAGGUACCUGAGGUGAUGCUGGAGGAAGAUUUCGGGGUAAUCCACGGCGGAGCGUCGACAUGAAACACACUCUGACUGCACUCCUGGGUCGAGCGCCGACGGAAACUGUGGACCGAGUUCCUGCCCAAACACAAAGAAACAAACGAGAGGCUCAUGGGAAACGUAGUGUGACUCACUGGAUGUGGAUGAGCGGAUGUUUGAGCGACACGUCGGCGAGCGGCAUGCGUUGAGACGGGACGUUGGCUGCCUCCUCCCCCACCAGACCCAGCGGACUCUCCAACACUGGCAGGAAGUCCUCCGCACAGACAGGAAACAGGAAGUCGUCUG